rnacentral:lncRNA from 10 species
AGCAGAAGGAGUUAGUCCUGUACCUGUGCGGAGACUGUAAAACUGCCAUCCCGCGCCGCAACACUGACGCGGCUGUGGUGCCAGGCCGCUCCUGCUCCUGCCAGGGCCGCGCCGGCCACUGCCGCUGCCAAGGGGCCGGGACUCCGCACAGCCUGUCGGCUGACAGCGAGCCCCCGUCGCAGUUUUCCGCCCCAGGCCGCCACCCGCGCGCAGCUACCCGCAGCCGCCGCCAUCUUUGCGGAAGCGCAGCUAGGCGGCGCUUCUCUCCCGGCGCCGCCGCCUACCGCUUGGGAACUCUCGCGACAUCCGACAGGCUUCCGCCCCGCCUACCGGGCCUGCGCCGUGGGUGCGGUUGCUGAGGCGACGCUCGCAGCCGCAAGAGGUGGCCUUCGGUUCCGGGGCUGCCUUCUAAGGCUGUGGGGAUGGGAUGACAGGAAGAGUAUCAAGACAGUAUAAUAUGACUUCCUAGUCCAAAACAAGAUAGUGCCCUCGGUUGUGUGGGCAGGUUUCUCCUUUUCAUUUUUUCACCUUGUAAAACUGUGAAACGUUUUUUGAAAUAGUCUCUUCUGCAUCUGUGUUGUUCAUGUCUUCCUAUGCUUAUAGUCUUGACUGUUCUUUCAUUUCUGCUAAAACAACUCUCAGACAAGGCAUUCUGUUUAUUUCAGUCCCUCACUAUUUGCUUAUAAUGAAUUUAAAUUCAGUUUCAACAAAAGGUUUGAUAGUAGCUCUUAUCCUACCUAGAACUAAAAGUCAGAGACAGCAGCACACCAGCCCCAUGUCUCUAUCAUCAGGGACCCAGAGGUUUUCCCCAGUGCAGAUUUAGAACGAUACCUCCAGUCCUGGCUGUUGCAUUGGUGAUAAGUGAUGUAGCUGAGGCAGACUACUUGGUUUUAUUUAACAGCCUCCAAUCCUCCAUUCUUUGGUCUUCACUUUUCCUGAGUAACUCUUUUUAAUAAACUCUUUGUUCAGCCUCUGAAAUGUCCCCAGCUAUUAGAAGCUUUAGUUGGGCAUGCAGUAACGGAGCCAACAUCAAAGGGGCCAAGACUCCUAAUCACAUAAUCACUGCUGUCUUGAAGUUUUGCACAAAACAAAACUUCAAGAAACAAAAACAAAAACCUGUCACACGAAAUCUAAUUUGAUCAUUCAGUGGAAGUUCCGUGGAUCCCUUUGUUAUUAUCUGCCCUUAAUCCUUGCUCCCUUUCUCUUAGCCCGCUUGUCUAAAUUAAUCUGCAGUCAGAGGUUCCUCACUUUUCCGUCAGCUUCUGGACUUACUUUUCAGUGUGCCUUCCCAGGUAGGAAGUAGAGAGAUGAGCCUCACUUCACCGACUUGUGAGCCAGACCUCAAGGUUUGAAUCUUAGCUCUACCAGGAUGAUCACUGUGGUUUGGGGCAAAUUAUUUAAUCUCUCUGAGUCUCCAUUUUCUCAUUUGUAAAUAACUCACGAUUUGGUAGAUGAUCACUGCUAUUUGGGGUAAGGUAUUUAAUCUCUUUGAGUCUCAAUUUUUUCAUCUGUGAACAACCCUCUUACAGUUUGGGGUGGGGAAGCUAAAUGAGAUAUUUUAUAUAAAGUGACUAGCCAAAUGCCUGGCACAUGGUAGGCUCAUGACAGAUGUGCGUUUACUGUGGUCAAGGUUUGGUUUACUUCUGCCCUGUGAACACAAAUGAGCUUGACUGAAUGUCCAUGAUUCCAGAUCACUAGCCCAUCUUAACCUGAGAUUUUCCUGCUUUUUUGUAUCUAGCCUGACUUUGUCAACCUCUGGACUGUUUUUCACCUCUGCUAACUCUGGUAGCUUUGGCACAUGUCCUGCUUUUCUGGACUAUUGACAUCUAGCUUGUUUCCUGGUGAUAAUAGGACUUCCAGGAUAUUUUGGACACCCUGGAUGUCUUACCUUGUAGUUUAUUCUUGAUUUCCAGAAACCACAGUCUUUACGUGUAUACUUCUAACUGCCUCACACAGUUCCUCUAGGUAUUUAAUGAAACCUGGCAUCUAUUACUCAGUAUUGCCUUAAGCCCAAGAUAAGUUUAGAUUCCCAUUAAAACAUGUAGCAUAUUUAAGAACAUUGUCUUUCUCCCACAAUUUGACAUCCUUGUGGGUGAGAUGUCUUCCUUUUCCCUGUUUCUCUAGCACCUAGCACAAUGCCCAGCACGUAAUAGACAUUCAAUGAGUGAGUAAAUAAGUGAAUAAAUAAAUGGCACAAAUGAAACUCAGGGGUUCAUAUUUCUAUGCUUUGGCCAUCCAAAAUACAGAAGUAUAUUAUUCCUUUGGGGUACUUUAUUUUCAAAACAAAAGCUUCUUUUUAUUUUGCCAAAAAUCUUUGAACCCACUUGGAAAACAGUGUAAUUAGUUAUUUUUUAAAUUUUCAUUAUGUGCCCAGGCAUCUAGAACUCUCACUUAUAAUUUAAUGUAUUCAAACUUUUCUUAUGC